UAUAAAAAAUUUGAUGCUCGACCUGACA
rnacentral:piRNA from 1 species